UGACGGUACCCUACUAGAAAGGAGCCGCUAACUUCGUGCCAGAAGCGUCGGUAAUACGGGGGCUCCAAGCGUUAUCCGGUGUUAUUGGGCGUAAAGAGUCGUGUAGGUGGUUGGGUAAGUUAUCUUUCAAAUAUCUUUGCUUAACAAAGAGGAGGGGGAUAAUACUGCUCGACUAGAAUUUUCUCAAGGGAGAUCGGAACUGAGGGAGGAGUAGUGAAAUGCGUUGAUACCCUCGGGAAUACCAGUGGCGUAGGCGGAUCUCUGGGAGAAGAUUGACACUGAGACACGAAAGCUAGGGGAGCGAAGCAGAUUAGAGACCUGCGUAGUCCUAGCCGUAAACGCAUGCUUGCUAGCUGCAUGAAUCUACCUUCGGGUGGUAUCGUGUGGCGAAGGUAACCCGUUAAGCAAGCCGCCUGGAAAGUACGGCCGCAAGGCUGAAAUUCAAAGGAAUUGGCGGGGAGGCACACAACCAGUGGAACAUGUGGUUUAAUUCGAGACUAACCGAAGAACCUCACCAGGGUUUGACAUGUAGCUGCACGUCUUAAGAAAUUAAGACUCUCUUGAAGGUGCUACACAGGUGCUGCAUGGCUGUCGUCAGCUCGUUCCGUGAGGAGUGCCCUUAAGUGGGACAACGAGCGCAACCCCUAUUACAUGUUAGAAAUGUCAUGUAAGACUGCCUUGCCAUUUGGCGGGGAGGAAGGAGGGGCAGACGUCAAGUCCGCAUGGUCCUUAUGCCCUGGGCUACACACAUGUUACAAUGAGUACGGCAAUGAGUCUGUCGCGAGCACGUAAGUGUAAGCUAAUCUCUUAAAUGUACUCUCAGUGGGGAUUGAGGUCUGCAACUCGACCUCAUGAACACGGAAUUGGUAGUAAUCGCGGGUCAGCUAUACCGCGGUGAUACGUUCUUGCCUCUUGCACACACCGCCCGUCAAACCAGCAAAGUCGAUUGUAUCCGAACCU
rnacentral:rRNA from 1 species